rnacentral:tRNA from 1 species
GGAGAGUUGUCUGAGUGGUUGAAAGAGCUGGUCUCGAAAACCAGUAUACGUAAAAGCGUAUCCAGGGUUCAAAUCCCUGACUCUCCGCCA